AUUUUAAGAAGUAAGAAAUAAGUUAUGUUUUGUCUGGAACACUAUGAACGCGUCAUCAACCACGUGGUGAAGAAGAACGUUGCCAUUUUGUGUUGAAUGCGUGUGGACCUGGGGAGAUAUCUUUCAAGUUUUUUCUGUAGGUAUAGGUAAUUGGUGUUGAGACAGUUGGGUUGAGACGGGCUUCUGCUUCAAGCAUUGUUCCUAAGGCUCUGUAGAAAUUUGAUAUGGCAGUGUAAGGGGUGUUCCGUUGCAGUAGCUACAUCACCAUCAUUACAUGAUUCUUCAGCUGAUUGCCAGGAUGAGGAGUUUGUGGAAGAGGAAGUUUCUGUUGCACCCG